AAAUAGCGUGCUUUAAGGCAAGGGGUACACAGCAAGCAGACCUCAAGGAGUCUGAAAACCUCCAAGACAGACCCUGAUGUAUUUACUUUGUCACGUGAGAAGGGCUGUGCAGAAGCACUGGUCUGGCUCUCCUGCACCAGAAGGGUUCGCUGCCACCGGUCUUGCUUGUCGUGCAUUCACGCUCACUGCUGUCUCCAGUCUAAGGACAGACCCCAGAGCUGCUGUACCAUGAAUUCUGCCUCAACCCCUGCCAGAGCAGAGCUGUCAGGGAUGUGGGAUAUGGCCGAGCACAGUCCUGGGAGAAGAGUGUAUACUGUUCCUGUUUCGGACAGAAGCAGAAAAUACCAGUAUCCCACCAGUGGAUGUACAGAUGACAUUCACAAAAGGCUCAGCACUCAGAACUCUUGCAGCGUAGGCCUGACCUGAGCACGCAGCGGGACCCUUCCACUGCCUCUGAAUGGAGCCCUGUGUCAGCGAUGCAUGGCGGGGCUAAUCAGGUAAUGCGAGGAAACAGCUGCGAAGCGCCCAGCCUUCGGGGUCUGUGUGUCUCACCCGUUUUGUGCCCCGUGAGCAAAACGUAUCCUUUAGUAACAGCUCCAAGUUACAUUUGCUAAAUAAACACUCUGCAGUUCUGCAG
rnacentral:lncRNA from 7 species